AAGCACUGUUCGUGACCUGUUAGUCUUGCUGUGGCUAACGGGUUCCAUUCCAGUGCUACAGCAGUCCCAGUGAACUGUGAUUGACUGACUGACUGGUGGCUCUCAGUUUCGGGUCUUGGAGACAAGC
rnacentral:snoRNA from 2 species